UUAAUGAAGGCGACGCUGAUUGGUGGAACUCCGUAAGCAAUGUUUCUUAUUGGCUUGCUUAUGUGUGACGUCAUAGACAACAACAAUGUGACACAUACCAAACUUGAAAAAUAUCACGGCCUGUCAAACUAGUUGAAAUAUGAUUCUGCGAUUUAUCAGACCCUACGGAGGACGUCGAUGUUCUUGACUUGGACAGUAAGCAGCAUUGUGUAAUGUGAAUCAUGGGCAUCAACUGGGAAUAUCUUCGAGGGAUUACCAGGGAGGCUGCAGAAUGGGGAGAAGAGGAGCUAGAAGAACUAUACCAGACUUUAGCAGGAAUCUCAAAGCUGCGGUCACGGGACAAAUCUAUAGAAAAGCUGGAGCUUUU